UAUUUAUGAUGUGGACAGGCGAGGACAUAGUCGUUGAAGUGCUCAAAUGCCUCAGAGAUCAUCUCCGUAGUGUACUGGGCGAAGCUUGAUAUCCGAUUGUGAAGAA
rnacentral:snoRNA from 1 species